UCUUCCCUCUGGCGGCGUGCCUAAUACAUGCAAGUCGAGCGAACAGACGAGGAGCUUGCUCCUCUGACGUUAGCGGCGGACGGGUGAGUAACACGUGGAUAACCUACCUAUAAGACUGGGAUAACUUCGGGAAACCGGAGCUAAUACCGGAUAAUAUAUUGAACCGCAUGGUUCAAUGGUGAAAGACGGUUUUGCUGUCACUUAUAGAUGGAUCCGCGCCGCAUUAGCUAGUUGGUAAGGUAACGGCUUACCAAGGCAACGAUGCGUAGCCGACCUGAGAGGGUGAUCGGCCACACUGGAACUGAGACACGGUCCAGACUCCUACGGGAGGCAGCAGUAGGGAAUCUUCCGCAAUGGGCGAAAGCCUGACGGAGCAACGCCGCGUGAGUGAUGAAGGUCUUCGGAUCGUAAAACUCUGUUAUUAGGGAAGAACAAAUGUGUAAGUAACUAUGCACGUCUUGACGGUACCUAAUCAGAAAGCCACGGCUAACUACGUG
rnacentral:rRNA from 1 species